CGUCUUCGAACUCAUCCAGAACUUGGGCGGCGAGCUAGACGAAGAGAGAGUGGCACAAAAACAGCAGCAACAUUCGAAGGAGAAGUUUGAAGCUCUGCCUUAAAAUCUGAGCGAAACCAAAAACCCAACACCUGGCGGGAAGUCAUUGGAGACAACAGAACCGCCACAAGAACAAGACAGGCAGAAAACGGGCCAACUACGAUGACAGCAAGAGACACAGCAGCAGAUCCAUCCAGACGUUUGGAGCCAAGUCACAGGUCAGCAGUGUAAACCACUUGGCUGUGUUUCCUGAAGCCCACCCGCUGCCAAAAUGUCAGGUGAGAAAACGGAGAGCUGAGUGUCACCGUGAAACCGCGCACGGGCUUCUCAUUGCACUUGGCUGCCGGACGACAUGACGACCAAGGUGGACUUUGCAUUUCUGGCACCAUGUGAGACAGUAACUGUCCACUGCUUACUGUAUGCACAUUAGCUGACACAUUGGUUCAUCAGGUUUAGCUUGGCAUGAGCUGUGCUUGUUGCAAACAGCAUACUGAUGGAAAUAAUAUUACUGUUAACAUGGAUUCAGGCGGAAUCAAAUGUAGCUGGACAAACCGUAAUAAUGACCUCUCACUCUGGGUUUUAAGAUUUCUCCUUAGUGAUCAGGACACUGCUUCCUGCUUUGUAUGCAAAUGCCACCAAGUGGUAUGAGUAGCACAUCGGGAUGUGUACAGGUCCUUCUGCAAUAUCACAAAUUCAUCUAAUCAAUUGGACUUCCAUAGUAUUUAGUCAUCAGCAUUGUUACGAAUCAUCUGAAUCUAUUUUGUCGUUAUUUCAGCUGUAAACUCUUCAUCAGCUUCAUUGACACUCACUCAAAUCAGAUGUGAUUUUAGAGAAGAAACUGAGAAUAAAUAACGUCGGGAAAAGUAACUGCACAGAGAGUUGAGAAACAAAUCCAUAUAACAACACAACAAUAAAACACAUAAGAGCUUGUGUACCAAUUUAUUUAUUUAUUUAUUUAUUUAUUUAUUUAUUUGCCCACACACACAGGGCUUCCUAAAGGGCAGUUGGUGCUGUGAGGGAAAGAAAACGAGGCUAGGCGCCCAACUAGCUCAUCAAACCUGCUAAUGUCCGUUCAGAUUGUGGGAAAUGAAGGAAUUUGUCACGAGACAUGUAGGCCAUCAAUACGCUUGACGAAGAAAUCUCAACCUGCCGCGGAUAGUACGUGCAAAGUCCACAGAACACACACAGAACGGUCGAGGUUGUGGCCUUAAAUUAAUCCUUCACAUUUCUACUGAAGGCGCCGCUUGGCUAAUCCGUUUGAUCAACUUUCAAACAACGGUUAAACAUUAUCAGAUGUUUAUUUCUCACUUUUUGACUUCAUUUCCACACUGCUUAGUCAAAGGAUAACACAAUUUUUUAGGGAUACACCAAUGUAAAAAUUUGGUCCGAUACCGAUACUCGAUAUUAAUAUUGCUUUUAUGGUCGGUGACCGAUAUUUACUGAUAUUCUAGGUUUUUCACUACCACUUUGACAUAUUUGGGAAACAAAACCCGACCAGAAACAGAGAGCAACAAGAUAAAAAUGAACAUCAGUUGUUUAUAUUGGCCCAGUUAUACUUAUCAGACCGAUACCCAUAUUUUAAAAAAGAAUUACUAAUAUUGACCGAUACUGAUGUUGGUGUCAAUAUAUCGUGCAUCUCUGCAAGUUUUUCUAGCUUUUUAAACUAUAUUUUUUUGUGUAAGCAUUUACUUUAAAGCAUUGUCACCGGCCACACCAUGCAGCAUGCGCUGUCAAUAAAUGUCAAACUAGUCAGUUUGAUCUGUUGUUUUUUUCUACAGUCCAAAGUGACUCAGAGUUUUUUUUACAUGGCUCCUUAGUUUGAUUUUUCAGAAAGAAGUCGAUGACUCACGCACGUUUGCGUGGGUGUGGGUGCAUGUGUGUGUGUGUGUGUGCGUCGUCCUAUGAUGUAAGGUACUCAGGUUUGACCCAAGGGACACAAACUCAACCAGCUGUAGCUUUUACACAAGGUGCGGAAAACGGCCAGCUGUCAUCUUUCAAAAGGAAACCAAAGUCGAAACUUUCAGGGUCAGAGAAGUUUACAAAUGCAUUUUAAACAUAUUAAACCUCAAAACAAAGUUUGGGUUUGUUCAUUCUAACAUCAAGCAAUCUGUGUUUCAACAUUUCAGAGGUAAGUAAAAUUGUAUUGAUAAAAAUAUGAUGAUUUUAGCUGAUGAAGUGUUUUAGCCUUUGAACUUUAGUCACAUUUACCAUAAAGCACAUUUACCUGUAUAUAAC